rnacentral:tRNA from 2 species
UCCCUGGAGGACUAGUGGUUAGGCCACAGUGCUCUCACCACUGCAGCCUAGGUUCGAUUCUCGGCCAGUGAA